rnacentral:rRNA from 1 species
GACGAACGCUGGCGGCGUGCUUAACACAUGCCAGUCGAACGGAAAGGCCCUGCUUUUGUGGGGUGCUCGAGUGGCGAACGGGUGAGUAACACGUGAGUAACCUGCCCUUGACUUUGGGAUAACUUCAGGAAACUGGGGCUAAUACCGGAUAGGAGCUCCUGCUGCAUGGUGGGGGUUGGAAAGUUUCGGCGGUUGGGGAUGGACUCGCGGCUUAUCAGCUUGUUGGUGGGGUAGUGGCUUACCAAGGCUUUGACGGGUAGCCGGCCUGAGAGGGUGACCGGCCACAUUGGGACUGGGAUACGGCCCAGACUCCUACGGGAGGCAGCAGUGGGGAAUAGUGCACAAUGCGCGGAAGCCUGAUGCAGCAACGCCGCGUGCGGGAUGACGGCCUUCGGGUUGUAAACCGCUUUCGCCUGUGACGAAGCGUGAGUGACGGUAAUGUGUAAAGAAGCACCGGCUAACUACGUG